AUUGAACGCUGGCGGCAGGCCUAACACAUGCAAGUCGAGCGAGCGGCGGACGGGUGAGUAAUGUCUGGGAAACUGCCUGAUGGAGGGGGAUAACUACUGGAAACGGUAGCUAAUACCGCAUACCAUCAGAUGUGCCCAGCGGGGAUUAGAUAGUAGGUGGGGUAAUGGCCCACCUAGGCGACGAUCCCUCGCUGGUCUGAGAGGAUGACAAGCCACACUGGAAAUGAUACACGGCCCCAACUCCUACGCGAGGCAGCAGUGGGGAAUAUUGCACAAUGGGCGCAAGCCUAAUGCAGCCAUGCCGCGUGUGAGAAGAAGGCCUUCGGGUUGUAAAGCACUUUCAGCGGGGAGGCGUUACCCGCAGAAGAAGCACCGGCUAACUCCGUGCCAGCAGCCGCGGUAAUUC
rnacentral:rRNA from 1 species